CCGGCACGGGUGAGUAACACGUAUGCAAUCCACCUGUAACAGGGGGAGUAACCCGGAGAAAUCCGGACUAAUACCCCAUAAUAUGGGCGCUCCGCAUGGAGAGCCCAUUAAAGAGAGCAAUUUUGGUUACAGACGAGCAUGCGCUCCAUUAGCCAGUUGGCGGGGUAACGGCCCACCAAGCGACGAUGGAUAGGGGUUCUGAGAGGAAGGUCCCCCACAUUGGAACUGAGACACGGUCCAA
rnacentral:rRNA from 1 species